CAGCGCACUCCGGGGUCGGUGUAAUUCCGAACCGGCGGUUAUAGUCCGCGACCCGUCCGCAGCCAGCGGCCGGUUGACCAGGUGUGAUUCCUGGACCGACGGUGAAAGUCCGGAUGGGAGGCAGUGCGCGG
rnacentral:ncRNA from 2 species